rnacentral:rRNA from 1 species
UACGAAGGGGGCUAGCGUUGCUCGGAAUUACUGGGCGUAAAGCGCACGUAGGCGGCUUUCUAAGUCGGGGGUGAAAUCCUGGAGCUCAACUCCAGAACUGCCUUCGAUACUGGAGAGCUUGAGUCCGGGAGAGGUGAGUGGAACUGCGAGUGUAGAGGUGAAAUUCGUAGAUAUUCGGAGGAACACCAGUGGCGAAGGCGGCUCACUGGACCAUUACUGACGCUGAGGUGCGAAAGCGUGGGGAGCAAACAGG